CCGGUUAACCGGCCGUAUAACACGUCCGAUGUCAAACCCGGUUCACAAUUUUUUUCAGGUCGGACCCACCGAUCCGAUCUGUUCCGUGACCACAUGUGGCCCCAUUUUUUAUGCCAAAAAUGUCACGUCUAUCUAAUGACAUCGGAUGGUGACCACGCAUUAAUUGAAGCAUGGGGACGAUCCUCUCUAACCCACCCCGAGUUCCCGGAGGAGGAGACGGGUCCGGCCGGUCAUGUUAACCUAAUUCGUGCAAGCUUGCUUGGCCAAUUUUUGUGCUCCGUGGACCCUCUUCCGGCCGUCACGCACAUCCCUGAUAUGCUUCUUAUGCUGCAUCAACCUAACCACAGGCAGUAGGCUGGAUCUCCGCCGAGGAUGUUGAUCCCAUCUGCCGACCAUCUCCGGCCGUAUCGCGUCUCCGAUGCACGCGUAUGCGUCUCGCCCGCGUUGCACGCCACGGCCAUAAAGUCGUGCCGGUCUCGGAGAUCCCCGCAAAGAUUUCUUCUCGUCCCUUCGAUAUUACCCGUCCCCCCUUCAUUUAACGCGGAAUCAGAGGCAAGCUUUUGACUGCAUCUCCCCCUCCCCCUCUCCGUCUUCGUUGGAAUACUUCGAUCCGGAAAUACAUGAUGAUGCCUUUGGUUUAAUUGCAUGUCUAUCACCUACUCAUCUUGAGUUGUAUCAUAAUCAUCAGGCAGAGGAUAGAGAUGGAAGCGGGCUAAGUGAAUCCGUAGAAGACAGCCGGAGAGCUUCAUUUUUGUAUUCAUUUGCUUAAAUCAUUUCCUCGUCCAUAAAUACCCAAUUAAACCAAUCGGUAGUGCUGCUUGGAACGAUCUGAAAUCAUUGACCUUGUUUUCCGUUCUUGCAUGUCGUACGUGCAUGGCCGCUCGUCCUUGAAGUUCUUCAGUCUUCUUCCUCCUCCCCUCCUACCAUUCAUGUUGAAAUAAGAUGAAUGAUGCUUAUGACGCAGGCCUCUUCUUCGGAGACAACAAAUGGUAUCGUAGAUCAUCAAAGCCGAAGUCCCAACGGCUACACAUCUGAUGGCGACCGGUCGAGGCCCUCGUAAUCUUUGUAGCCGCAUUCAAGGCCAUGGGGGCCGCCAUGGUUGGGACAUUCAUACAUGCACCAUUCCCCGUGUUCAUCAAUGCAACCCGCCCUCUUUAAGCUGGGUAUCAGAUGGGCGUCUGAAUCUGAAUCACCUCUGUCACUGCUUGCAGGCCAAGAUUCUCUCCCUCCUCUCUCUUUCAUACAUCUUUCGUGGUGCCAUUGAAUGAGUCUCACUGGAGCUUUCGCUGAAGCCCUCGAAAGGGAGGUAUCAUCAGUACUGAAGCUGCCAUAUACGGGCACCAUUAUUUUAUGUCGACACACACACACAUACAAUGAUGCUUUAAGUCUCUUGUGAGUUAUAUGCAUAUCUGCGGCCUUCCAUGUGUGAUCUUUGGAGGGCCGCCAAAUCAGAUUGAGACAGCCAGGCAUUUAUCGCUUGCCUGAUGAUUUCUUUUCGAAACAUAUCUACCAUAGUAUUCUUCUGUUGCAAUUAUUAUGAUGUCUGGCUUUCUGCUUUGCCCUUCCACUGGUAGGCUUAAGUUUGGUUGCUAAAACAAAGUAGGAAUCAUAUCAUUGGAAUUUGUUGGAAGUUUCCUGCAUUAAAAUGACCACACAAGGGCUCGUGAUGCAGCUGUCAGAAUACCAUUUAGCAGCAUUUAUCACCCAAGCAUGGCGAGCCGAUUCGAUGCCACCUCCAUGGAGCUUGAUAAGAUCAAAUGGAUGUCUCCACAGCCAAUCCCUCGUUUUCCUCUACAGAGAUAUCGAUGCGAAAGCAUGACUUUGUUUUGUGUUCACCGGCCGUUGGAUGCGGUAAAUGUGACAGUAAAUGUGGAGCGGCUGACAGCUUUAGGAACAUAACGAGGCAGAAGACGGCUGGUCACUAAAUGAGGGGGCGAUUGCGUCUCCUCCUCCUAUUUAUUACAUUUAGCAUGGCACUGUGUCUUUGUGGUGAUCCCAUUCAAGCCUUCUGACAGCGACUGUCAUCGUUAUCUUGCGCUGCUCUCACAAGCAGUGGAAAUCCUUUUAGUCGAUGUCAUUCCGUGCCAAAGGGAAAUUAAAUGGUAAGGCAACACUUGAUUGCACAACUUUUGUGAUUUAUGCUUUGUUGAUUGCUUUUGGAUUUACUUACUGGCAGUACUGCUCAUUAUUAAUCUUAAUAAAUACUGUGCACCCCUCGGGGAAGGCUAAAAGACUGAUGAUGUGUGUCGUAAUUCUAACAUUUACAUGCACAAUGCACAGUUGCAAUUUGCAGCUUAGCAUUUCAUAGAUUGCACCUUAGCAGUACUACUCGGUGAACCACCUGAACGAUGUGACGUCGGUGUGCUAUCUACAAAACAUGGA
rnacentral:lncRNA from 1 species